AAGGAUCAUUAAUGAAUUCACUAUGGAGUUGUUGCUGGCCUCUAGGGGCAUGUGCACGCUUCACUAGUCUUUCAACCACCUGUGAACUUUUGAUAGAUCUGUGAAGUCGUCUUUCAAGUCGUUAGACUUGGUUUGCUGGGAUGUAAACGUCUCGGUGUGACUACGCAGUCUAUUUACUUAUAACACCCCAAAUGUAUGUCUACGAAUGUCAUUUAAAGGGCCUUGUGCCUAUAAACCAUAAUACAGCUUUCAACAACGGAUCUCUUGGCUCUCGCAUCGAUGAAGAACGCAGCGAAAUGCGAUAAGUAAUGUGAAUUGCAGAAUUCAGUGAAUCAUCGAAUCUUUGAACGCACCUUGCGCCCCUUGGUAUUCCGAGGGGCAUGCCUGUUUGAGUGUCAUUAAAUUCUCAAACUCACUCUGGUUUUUCCAAUUGUGAUGUUUGGAUUGUUGGGGGCUGCUGGCCUUGACAGGUCGGCUCCUCUUAAAUGCAUUAGCAGGACUUCUCAUUGCCUCUGCGCAUGAUGUGAUAAUUAUCACUCAUCAAUAGCACGCAUGAAUAGAGUCUGGCUCUCUAACCGUCCGCAAGGACAAUUUGACAAUUUGACCUCAAAUCAGGUAGGACUACCCGCUGAACUAA
rnacentral:rRNA from 1 species